ACUUAUAUUCUGUAGCAAGGUUAACCGAAUAGGGGAGCCGGAGGGAAACCGAGUCUUAAUUGGGCGUUAAGUUGCAGGGUAUAGACCCGAAACCCGGUGAUCUAGCCAUGGGCAGGUUGAAGGUUGGGUAACACUAACUGGAGGACCGAACCGACUAAUGUUGAAAAAUUAGCGGAUGACCUGUGGCUGGGGGUGAAAGGCCAAUCAAACCGGGAGAUAGCUGGUUCUCCCCGAAAGCUAUUUAGGUAGCGCCUCGUGAAUUCAUCUCCGGGGGUAGAGCACUGUUUCGGCUAGGGGGCCAUCCCGGCUUACCAACCCGAUGCAAACUGCGAAUACCGGAGAAUGUUAUCACGGGAGACACACGGCGGGUGCUAACGUCCGUCGUGAAGAGGGAAACAACCCAGACCGCCAGCUAAGGUCCCAAAGUCAUGGUUAAGUGGGAAACGAUGUGGGAAGGCCCAGACAGCCAGGAUGUUGGCUUAGAAGCAGCCAUCAUUUAAAGAAAGCGUAAUAGCUCACUGGUCGAGUCGGCCUGCGCGGAAGAUGUAACGGGGCUAAACCAUGCACCGAAGCUGCGGCAGCGACACUGUGUGUUGUUGGGUAGGGGAGCGUUCUGUAAGCCUGUGAAGGUGUGUCGUGAGGCAUGCUGGAGGUAUCAGAAGUGCGAAUGCUGACAUAAGUAACGAUAAAGCGGGUGAAAAGCCCGCUCGCCGGAAGACCAAGGGUUCCUGUCCAACGUUAAUCGGGGCAGGGUGAGUCGACCCCUAAGGCGAGGCCGAAAGGCGUAGUCGAUGGGAAACGGGUUAAUAUUCCCGUACUUGGUGUUACUGCGAAGGGGGGACGGAGAAGGCUAUGUUGGCCGGGCGACGGUUGUCCCGGUUUAAGCGUGUAGGUGUGUGUUCCAGGUAAAUCCGGUUCACUUUAACACUGAGGCGUGACGACGAGGCACUACGGUGCUGAAGCAACAAAUGCCCUGCUUCCAGGAAAAGCCUCUAAGCAUCAGGUAACAUCAAAUCGUACCCCAAACCGACACAGGUGGUCAGGUAGAGAAUACCAAGGCGCUUGAGAGAACUCGGGUGAAGGAACUAGGCAAAAUGGUGCCGUAACUUCGGGAGAAGGCACGCUGACACGUAGGUGAAGUGAUUUACUCAUGGAGCUGAAGUCAGUCGAAGAUACCAGCUGGCUGCAACUGUUUAUUAAAAACACAGCACUGUGCAAACACGAAAGUGGACGUAUACGGUGUGACGCCUGCCCGGUGCCGGAAGGUUAAUUGAUGGGGUCAGCGCAAGCGAAGCUCCUGAUCGAAGCCCCGGUAAACGGCGGCCGUAACUAUAACGGUCCUAAGGUAGCGAAAUUCCUUGUCGGGUAAGUUCCGACCUGCACGAAUGGCGUAAUGAUGGCCAGGCUGUCUCCACCCGAGACUCAGUGAAAUUGAACUCGCUGUGAAGAUGCAGUGUACCCGCGGCAAGACGGAAAGACCCCGUGAACCUUUACUAUAGCUUGACACUGAACAUUGAGCCUUGAUGUGUAGGAUAGGUGGGAGGCUUUGAAGUGUGGACGCCAGUCUGCAUGGAGCCGACCUUGAAAUACCACCCUUUAAUGUUUGAUGUUCUAACGUGGACCCGUUACCCGGGUUGCGGACAGUGUCUGGUGGGUAGUUUGACUGGGGCGGUCUCCUCCUAAAGAGUAACGGAGGAGCACGAAGGUUGGCUAAUCCUGGUCGGACAUCAGGAGGUUAGUGCAAUGGCAUAAGCCAGCUUGACUGCGAGCGUGACGGCGCGAGCAGGUGCGAAAGCAGGUCAUAGUGAUCCGGUGGUUCUGAAUGGAAGGGCCAUCGCUCAACGGAUAAAAGGUACUCCGGGGAUAACAGGCUGAUACCGCCCAAGAGUUCAUAUCGACGGCGGUGUUUGGCACCUCGAUGUCGGCUCAUCACAUCCUGGGGCUGAAGUAGGUCCCAAGGGUAUGGCUGUUCGCCAUUUAAAGUGGUACGCGAGCUGGGUUUAGAACGUCGUGAGACAGUUCGGUCCCUAUCUGCCGUGGGCGCUGGAGAACUGAGGGGGGCUGCUCCUAGUACGAGAGGACCGGAGUGGACGCAUCACUGGUGUUCGGGUUGUCAUGCCAAUGGCACUGCCCGGUAGCUAAAUGCGGAAGAGAUAAGUGCUGAAAGCAUCUAAGCACGAAACUUGCCCCGAG
rnacentral:rRNA from 1 species